rnacentral:lncRNA from 1 species
AUAGGAGUAACAUAGCUUCCUUCGACAAAAUUCGAAGGAAGGACAUCAUGCCUGGGGUGAGACCUGACAACCUGUAUCAAAAAAGUUAGCACAAAGACAAACAAGUGAAGGUCCCAAAUAAAACAAGACUUAAGCUUUCAAACCUCCACACGCUUAGGAAGAUAAAGCUCAGCCAUAAGAUCCGGAUCAUCCGGCAUCCAAGAAACCCCAUCAUCUUCACCAAAAAUAUGAAGGAUCGGGUACGAAGGCUGCAUAAACAAACUAGCAUCAGUCAAAACAAGAAAGGCAGAUAACCAAAAGCCAAAAAAUACACAAAGAGGACUGGAACAACCACAUAAGUCGGAGGCCAAGACCCUCGGUAGGCAAGGGAACGAAGGAAUUCAGAUCGUUCAUCGUCAAUAUCAAACUCAACAAAAUCAAACAUGUCAACUAUACUCAUGUUAGAAAAGGAAGCUCACCAAUACUCCCACAAGUCACCUAGAACAUAAAUUCUAAAAAAAAUGGAAAGCGGGGCCUCAGAAGAAUCCUGCGCAGAUACUUCACUAGAGACCUACGUAGGAUAAAGUGUAAAACAAAAACAAUCAUUCAAGAUCAAGUUAAUAUAUUACAUAGCCAACAAGUUUUUACAGCUAACUCAACUCUCGUCCUUUUCACAAAAAGCGUCACUCAGAAGCAGACACAAAAACUAAAAAAUUCCUAAAACCAAAAAACCCUCACACCUAGGGCGGAGGAGGAACGAAAGCACCGACUCCCUCAGGAACUUUGGCACCAGCUGCAGGAUCCUCCAUGUUAGCCUG